GACGAACGCUGGCGGCGUGCUUAACACAUGCAAGUCGAACGGUGAAGGGACUGGUUUUGCUGGUCCUGGAUGAGUGGCGAACGGGUGAGUAACACGUGAGUAACCUGCCCCCUUCUUCUGGAUAACCGCAUGAAAGUGUGGCUAAUACGGGAUAUUCUGGGUCUGUCGCAUGGUGGGCCUGGGAAAGAUUGCGCCUUUUUUGGUGUUUUUGGUGGGGGAUGGGCUCGCGGCCUAUCAGCUUGUUGGUGGGGUGAUGGCCUACCAAGGCGGUGACGGGUAGCCGGCCUGAGAGGGUGGACGGUCACACUGGGACUGAGACACGGCCCAGACUCCUACGGGAGGCAGCAGUGGGGAAUAUUGCACAAUGGGCGCAAGCCUGAUGCAGCGACGCCGCGUGAGGGAUGGAGGCCUUCGGGUUGUGAACCCCUUUCGCCAGUGAAGCAGGCCUGCCUCUUUUUGUGGGUGGGUUGACGGUAGCUGGAUAAGAAGCGCCGGCUAACUACGUG
rnacentral:rRNA from 1 species